GGGGCUGUAGCUCAGUGGCAGAUUGCUUGCCUAGCAUGUGUGAGGCACUGAGAUCGAUCCUCAGCACCACA
rnacentral:tRNA from 1 species